AUUACCGCGGCUGCUGGCACGUAGUUAGCCGUGGCUUCCUCCUUAGGUACCGUCAUUAUCGUCCCUAAAGACAGAGCUUUACAAUCCGAAGACCUUCAUCGCUCACGCGGCGUUGCUGCGUCAGGGUUUCCCCCAUUGCGCAAUAUUCCCCACUGCUGCCUCCCGUAGG
rnacentral:rRNA from 1 species